ACAAUUGUACUUUAAGUGGAGCUGUAUUCUCCACGAUAUAUGAGAAUAUGUCGAGAAUAUGAAUUACUUUGGCUUGAACUUUAAUCCAUUUUUAAUAUUAUACAAUUUUUAGAUAAUAAACUCAGUCAAUUGUAUAUAAUAAACUUAGUUACAAUUUUUAAAAAGUGAUUUUUUUUUCUUCGGAUUUAUUUGAGUUUUAACAGUUGAGCGUUAAUUUUAAGAAGAAGAAGAAAAAGGAAAAGUCUUGUGACUUUAUUUUUGGGUUUAAAAGUCUUCUAGUAAAUUCGUUGAGUAAAGCAGUAAAAGAGGUGUUGCGUUGGUCAAAAUUGGAAACUAGAGUUCACACGGAAACAAACAGUGCUUCUCCUUUGUGCACACACACUAUUCUUUGUGUAUGAUAUUCGCUUUUUGCGUAUAGUUUGGUACAAACGCUCUAUCAUUCAUUCGAUGGAAUGUGAGUUCUGUGCACUAACGAACAAAAAGAGAGGAACUGAGUGCAAACUUAAGAAUUAGGAUUUAAUCAAAGUCAAUGGUAUUCGAUUCUUAAUAUGGAAUCUGAUCCGACCAACACAUACUUAACACUUAAAUGUCGGAAUAAUCACCAACUCCACUUCUUCCUACACUAUUAAAUAAAGAAAAGGAGGCUAGAUGACUAAAUAAAUGGUAGAAAUUGUCAAUU